rnacentral:rRNA from 1 species
AAACCGGCAAACUGGUGAGUAACACGUGGGAAAUCUGCCCUAGAGCGGGGGACAACUUCGGGAAACCGAGGCUAAUACCGCAUACGUCUUCCUGACUUAAGUCAGGAAGGGAAAGGCAUCUUUCGGGAUGCCACUCUGGGAUGAGCCCGCGCCCCUAUCAGCUUGUUGGUGAGGUAACGGCUCACCAAGGCUACGACGGGUAGGCGGCCUGAGAGGGUGGUCGCCCACACCGGGACUGAGAUACGGCCCGG